AUCACGGCCAUAUAUCUGGACAGAUUCGGACCAGCAUUCAGUGUGCCUGCUGUCCUCCGAAGAGUUUCUCUGCUGUCAGAAUUCAGUUCUGCUGAACGCGUCGUCAACAUGAUGAUCAGAAUUGUGCUUGGAGUCAUUGCAGCGAUUGGAUUUCUCACUCUCAGUGAAGCCCUGACGUGUAAUUCCUGUAAAGUGGGCAUUCUAGGCAAAUGUUUAUUCAGUUCCCAAGUGUCCUGCGUUGCCUCCGAGACCAACUGCUACACUGCCAAAGCAGAGUUCAAUGUGACGGGGUUUUUGAGUCUGUCCUCCAGUGGGUGCACAUCUGAUUGCAACAACACCGCUGGAAGCAUCCUGGGUGCGGGAUACACGGUGACCAAAAGCUGCUGCGCUGUAAAUCUGUGCAAUGGAGCGAGUGCUGCGCAGCUGUCUGUGGCUGGGGCUCUCAGCGCCGCACUGCUGGCCUCCGUCUGGAGCAGCUCCAUGCUGUAGAUCUAACACCUCCAUGUCUGUGCAGUGUUAUGUUCACAGUAACUCCCUGAACUGGAACCAGUGAAGAUAUCAUCUCUAGAAUGUAUAGAUACCAUAACUUUGAUUGUUUACUCCACUGUGUUUAUCUGUCCCAUUUUCCCACUUUUUUUAUAAAUGUUUACUUACAAUGUAAAACAUAUUUCAAAACUUUUGCUGAAGUUUUUUUUUUAUAUAAAACCUACAUUUGGAUGCACACUGUGGAAUAAGGUGAUGAUAUAUUUGAAGUGGAGCUGAAUAAAUUUCACAGCAGUGACUCUGGGUUAGGUACUGUACUUUUACAUUUACUUGUAAAUGAUGACAACUAUCCCCUGACUUUAUGUAUAUUCGAUCACAUUGUAACAUUAGACUAGAUUAAUAAAUAUAUAAAAUAAAAAAACCUGUUAUUUCAGUUAUGUUUUUGUUAGUAUUAACUAGUGCUAUCAAAUGAUUAAUUGUGAUCAAUCACAUCCA
rnacentral:lncRNA from 1 species